CGGUCCAGACUCCUACGGGAGGCAGCAGUGGGGAAUAUUGCACAAUGGGCGCAAGCCUGAUGCAGCCAUGCCGCGUGUGUGAAGAAGGCCUUCGGGUUGUAAAGCACUUUCAGCGGGGAGGAAGGCGUUAAGGUUAAUAACCUUGGCGAUUGACGUUACCCGCAGAAGAAGCACCGGCUAACUCCGUGCCAGCAGCCGCGGUAAUACGGAGGGUGCAAGCGUUAAUCGGAAUUACUGGGCGUAAAGCGCACGCAGGCGG
rnacentral:rRNA from 1 species